UUUACAAGAUUUUUUUAACCAAAUUUUUACAGCUGUUUUCAUCAAAGAACAAAUACCUUCCUAAUAUCAGCCAUUAACACAACAUUUUACAUUUAUAAGGAACAAAAAUUUAUAAAAAAGCAAACUGCUAAAAUGCUACCAUAGUAAUUCCUGAUUGAUGAAUAAAACCAUGAUCCUACAUACAAAUAUUUGCCAAUUCAAAUGAUCUUUAACAAAAGAAAUACAUUACAACAUUUCUAUAUUAUUUGAUCAAUGCUGGUGUGGUGUCUUCAUUUCAUCAAAAUGUGUAUACUACUGUUUAUUAGGAAUUGUCAAA
rnacentral:lncRNA from 1 species